rnacentral:tRNA from 1 species
UCCCAUGUGGCUCAGUUAGUAGAGCAUGGUGCUUGCAACUCCAGGGUUGUGGGUUUGAUUCCCAUGGGGGAC